rnacentral:rRNA from 1 species
UACGUAGGUGGCUAGCGUUGUCCGGAUUUACUGGGCGUAAAGAGCGCGCAGGCGGUCGAUCAAGUCGAGUGUGAAAGCCCCCGGCUCAACUGGGGAGGGUCAUUCGAUACUGAUCGACUCGAAGGCAGGAGAGGGUAGUGGAAUUCCCGGUGUAGUGGUGAAAUGCGUAGAUAUCGGAAGGAACAUCAGUGGCGAAAGCGACUUCCUGGACCAAUACUGACGCUCAUGUGCGAAAGCGUGGGGAGCAAACAGG